rnacentral:rRNA from 1 species
UACGUAGGGGGCAAGCGUUGUCCGGAAUUAUUGGGCGUAAAGAGCGCGUAGGCGGUCCGAUAAGUCGGCUGUGAAAGUCAGGGGCUCAACCCUUGAAAGCCGGCCGAUACUGUCGGGCUAGAGUACGGAAGAGGCAAGUGGAAUUCCUGGUGUAGCGGUGGAAUGCGCAGAUAUCAGGAGGAACACCGGUGGCGAAGGCGGGUCUCUGGGCAGUAACUGACGCUGGAGGAGCGAAAAGCGUGGGGGAGCGAACAGG